rnacentral:rRNA from 1 species
UACGUAGGGUGCGAGCGUUAAUCGGAAUUACUGGGCGUAAAGUGUGCGCAGGCGGCGUCGCAAGUCGAGUGUGAAAUCCCCGGGCUUAACUUGGGAAUUGCGCUCGAAACUACGAUGCUGGAGUGUGGCAGAGGAAGGUGGAAUUCCACGUGUAGCGGUGAAAUGCGUAGAGAUGUGGAGGAACACCUAUAGCGAAGGCAGCUCGCUGGGACGUUACUGACGCUGAGACGCGAAAGCGUGGGGAGCAAACAGGAUUAGAUACCCUUGUAGU